CAAUAGCGUAUAUUAAAGUUGUUGCGGUAAAAAAGCUCGUAGUUGGAUUUCUACCGAAGAUAGCCGGUCGGGUCUUCGACCUUGUAUCUGGUUUUGUCUUUGGUAUCCUCAUAGGGAACGUUUCUGCGCUUUAUUGCGUGGUGCGGUAUCUAUGACUUUUACUUUGAGGAAAUUAGAGUGUUCACGGCAGGCAAUCGCCUUGAAUAUAUUAGCAUGGAAUAAUAACAUAGGAUCUUUGUCCUAUUUUGUUGGUUUCUAGGGCUGAGAUAAUGAUUAAUAGGGAUAAUUGGGGGCAUCUGUAUCAACGCGUCAGAGGUGGAAUUCUUGGAUUGCGUUGCGACAAACUACUGCGAAAGCAUUUGCCAAGGAUGUUUUCAUUGA
rnacentral:rRNA from 1 species